UACAGAGGGGGCAAGCGUUGUUCGGAAUUACUGGGCGUAAAGGGCGCGUAGGCGGCCCGCUAAGUCGAACGUGAAAUCCCUGGGCUCAACCCAGGAACUGCGUCCGAUACUGGUGGGCUUGAAUCCGGGAGAGGGAUGUGGAAUUCCAGGUGUAGCGGUGAAAUGCGUAGAUAUCUGGAGGAACACCGGUGGCGAAGGCGGCAUCCUGGACCAACACUGACGCUGAGGAGCGAAAGCCAGGGGAGCAAACGGG
rnacentral:rRNA from 1 species